rnacentral:rRNA from 1 species
GACGUAGGGCGCGAGCGUUGUCCGGAUUUAUUGGGCGUAAAGAGCGCGCAGGCGGUCGAUCAAGUCGAGUGUGAAAGCCCACGGCUCAACCGUGGAGGGUCAUUGGAAACUGGGGGACUUGAGUACAGAAGAGAAGAGUGGAAUUCCACGUGUAGCGGCGAAAUGCGUAGAGAUGUGGAGGAACACCAGUGGCGAAGGCGACUCUUUGGUCUGUAACUGACGCUGAGGCGCGAAAGCGUGGGGAGCAAACAGG